CCUACGGGAGGCAGCAGUGAGGAAUAUUGGUCAAUGGACGCAAGUCUGAACCAGCCAUGCCGCGUGCAGGAAGACGGCCCUACGAGUCGUAAACUGCUUUUGUACGAGGGUAAACGCAGAUACGCGUAUCUGUCCGAAAGUAACGUACGAAUAAGGAUCGGCUAACUCCGUGCCAGCAGCCGCGGUAAUACGGAGGAUUCAAGCGUUAUCCGGAUUUAUUGGGUUUAAAGGGUGCGUAGGCGGUCGGAUAAGUUAGAGGUGAAAUCCCGAGGCUCAACUUCGGAAUUGCCUCUGAUACUGGUCGGCUAGAGAGUAGUUGCGGUAGGCGGAAUGUAUGGUGUAGCGGUGAAAUGCUUAGAGAUCAUACAGAACACCGAUUGCGAAGGCAGCUUACCAAGCUACGUCUGACGUUGAGGCACGAAAGCGUGGGGAGCAAACAGGAUUAGAUACCCUUGUAGUC
rnacentral:rRNA from 1 species